UGUUGCAGAUGAAGUGAACUGGCUGUUGUAUUUCCUGAGUGGAGCUUUGGGAUUCACCAUCAGCCUUUUGCUGGCUGUGUUACUGUACAAGAUAAACAAGAGAAGAUGCUGGAGAUGUUCAGAGUCUCAUACACAACCAUCAUCUCCCUCCACAACAAAUGCAGAGGGCAACCAACAUGCAGAUGAGCUCCAUUACGCUGCAGUAAAUGUGAACGUGGCCAGCAGAUCAAGACGACAGAGGGACAACACAAACGAUGGAUGUGUGUACUCAAGUGUUAAACUGUAGAAUUUUGUUUUCUCGAAAGGUCUAUGUUUGAGAUGAGGGAUUUCUCAGUCUGUCUUUAGAGGUGGAGCAUGAUUCUUGUCUGUAUUGCUUUUUUAUCCUUUUUCUUAUUAUAAAUGUGGCCUUUUUUGUGAUUAAUGAUAAAAAACAACUUGUGAUGUAAUUACACUUUUAUGGUUAGACAAUGUGUGUGGGGGGGGGCAAUGUUUGGACAGUUGCUGUUGGUCUUUGAUUGAAUGACACUUUGACGAUGACAUAUGGAAAACAAUGAUUCAAGUUCUUGUAAUGAAAGUCCAAUGAAGGGUAUUACUCAUAUAGCAGGGACCUAAAUAUGUUGACACCCUCACAUUAUGGAAACAAAACAUGAGUCCAGAGGAUUUAAAUCAUUAAAUUUCGUAUGUUUUAAGCUUCGGUUUAGGUCAGGGUAAAGUUUGGAGUUAAAGACAAGACACUGUAACGUCCUCUGAAAUCAUGGAGACAUUUGGCAUAACACAUCCAACACUUCAAAAUUGAAUUUGACAUUUUAGGUAGAAUAAGUUGUCCUCUAUUUUUUUUGUAUUUUAUUUAGAUACUGAUUCUAUAGACACGAGGGAACGUAUU